rnacentral:rRNA from 1 species
UUUAAACGGAGAGUUUGAUCCUGGCUCAGGAUGAACGCUGGCGGCGUGCCUAACACAUGCAAGUCGAACGGUUAACCCACCUUCGGGU